AUGAAAUGAAGUUGUUCUAUGAAUUAUGGCCGAAAGUGCAACUUUAUGCCAAAUGCUCUGCGAAAAAGGCUGCUUUUGUACAUUUUCAUACUCGAAAAAGCCCACCCCACCCUCCUGAAAAAUUAUUGCAUACACUACUCGAAAAUGAAUGCAUCCAUCCGUUCCCGUGUUCGGAUGAAAUAUUUCCAAAAUUAUCUGAUGAGAUUUAUUUAAAAAUAUAUUUAAAAUAAAUUUCACAUAAAUGUGAGUAUCAUAUACCCUUUUUUAGCAUCGUUUAUUCUUAUUAAUUGAGAUUGAAUGCGUG
rnacentral:misc_RNA from 1 species